UCUCUGAUCACCAUUCUGCAAAGGAACAGCCUACUGGUGCCUGGGUGACGUUUCUGUGAUCCUUUCAUCCUGUGGGGAGCCAUCCAUGUAGCUGACCUUCUCCUAACCCUACCCCUGCAGCAAGUGGUAGCUGCUGUUGCUGCUUCCUCAUUAUCUCGACCAUCACUGCCAUUGUCAUCAUCAUUACCAUCACCAUGCUCUAAUAUCUCCCAUGAACACCAGAUUCCUACGUUCAACUGCCUAUGUGAUA